rnacentral:lncRNA from 1 species
AUCUUCUGGAUAUAUGCCCAGGAGACCUUUACCAUUACUCUUAAGCAAUGUUCUGUUUUCCUGGACUCUAUGGUUUGAAGACCUGACCCUAAAGCUUAAGAUUUAUUGUGAAGAAAUCUACAGGUCCCAGAGGAUUGUACUGAUCUGAUAGGAAAAUGGUGACUGGGUAAAUGGAAGGCACAUUAAGAAAAUGGAAAAUUGACCCAGAUUUUGUUUUUUAAAAAUUCUUGGGUUUUUCUCUACUUUAAAAGAUUUCCCCCAUUUCUGAUGAAACAUGAAAAUAAAACACAGUGUUUUAAGAGAAAAUCAAAAAAAAAAAGAUUUAUUGUAAAGAACAGUAUUUGGCAGUGUUUAAAUGUGCAUCACAGAGUUUACCCCUGAUCCUAUGAAAUUGUUUAGUUACAAAGGGGUAUGCUUGGUCAGCUCUUCACAUAUCUGAGUAGGGUAUAUAAGAAGUGUGUAGAAGCAGUUAACCGGUCAGAUGCAUCAUAUGAUAGAGAUCUUCAGUCAGAGUUCCUUGGCAUCUUGUGUCAGACCUUUUCAAAUCCAAGUGGAAACGUCUAGAGCAUGAGGCACAUCCUUACCUCAGUGAAGGCCUUCCGUUAUGGUCUGCCUUGAAAGAAAAUAACCUUUACUCUUGUUAAUCUAUGGAUAAGUUCUCUACUUUAAAAGCUAUCUUAAAAUCUCUGUUCAAUUCUGGGAAGAUGGCUUAGUGACUAAAGUGCUUGCCACUCAGGGGAGAGGCCUUGAGUUUGAGUCUCUAGUUUGAAGAAAAUUGCAAUGGUGUGGUCUGUAGUCCCAGUGGUUCUACUACAAGAUGGAGUGGAGACAAGAGAGCCCCUGGACAUUCAGGGCCCCAAUAGCCUGGUAUAUACAAUGGCAAAUCAAAGAAAUCCAGUCUCAACUCAAGUACAGUGGAAAAGGAAGCGUGGCACCUGAGGUGGUCUUCUGAACUCUACAUGUGCACUAAUUAAUUUCCCCCUCCUCAAAUUUAUAAAGAAAUUUUUUUUUGUUGAGGCUGACACAUAGACAUUGAUUAUUUAUGGUAUUAAAGGCCUAGAUAAUUUCAUUUAUUGAUCUAAUUCUCAAAUUUGUAUGAUCUAGCAUAAUAUCUUUAUAUGGUUUUUAAUUUAUUUAUCCUUUGGGUCUUUUAGAGAUAGUCUCACUAUGUAGCUGUGGCUGCAUUGGAGGUCACCGUGUAGAUGAUGUUGGCUUAGAACUCACAGAGAUCUGCCUGUCUCUGUCUCCCAACAGAGGAGAAACGUGUGCUCUACCACAUCAAGCUCAUUUUAUGUUUACUUUAGAAAUGGAUUAACAAAUAUAUGAGUCUUCAGGAACCUGACUAUAGUAAUAAGUUAGAGCAGGGAUCUUCUCUGACUGUCUGGCUUCAAGGUCAGUAUGGUUUUUCAUUGUAUCUUAGACCAUUAUCCACUAGGAUGGUCACUCAGUGAGGGGUAGAGUCACAAGAAGCUACUAUGCAACCUAUCUCUUGAUCAGAUGAAGCAGAGCGAAACCUUAGCUGCAAACUUCCUGGAAAAAAUAAAAAUAGCUUCCUGUAAAUACCAAGACUGUGGCAUGAGGUCAUGUCUUAGAAGGUAUAAACAUGUCAAAACAGAGACUCAUGCUUAAAGAAUGUGAAAGGCUUACAAAGCCUGUAAUCACCAUCCUUUUUACUGGGGUAUAGAAUUAUGAAAAUAAAGUAUGGCCUUGGAAAAGCUGUGUCACCUUUCUGAACUAACAAAAAGUGACACAGAGCAAUAAUGUUACACCAUCUAAUAAGGCUUAAAGUUAGUCAGUCAUCCAUGUAUCCCACUCACUAAACAUAUUAUUUAAUCCUCCCAGAAAUGCACAAGGUUUUAGGUCCCAUGUUCAGAAACAGGUAAAAGAAUGACAACCUCCCCUAACAUAUCAUUGCUCUUAAGUGAAGAAUCAGGAUCCAAAAUAAAUCUGUUUGGCUCACGAAUCUAUAUCUUUUAAAAAAUUAUUUAUUUAAUUUUACUUCCUGUCCAUUGGCAUUUUGCCUGCAUGUAUGGUAUGUCUGUGGGAGGCUAUCAGGACCCCUGGAGAUGGAGUUACAGUUAUGAACUAUCUUGUGGGUGCUAGGAUUCAAAUCUAAGCCCUCUUGAAGAGCACCAGCAGUGCUCUUAACUGCUGAACCAUCGCUCUAGCCCCAUGAACCUAUAUCUUAACACACCAGGCCAGACUGAGAAAUAUAUGAGUUCUACAGCAUUGGGCUAGCAAACUCUUUUAUAAAUGACAAGAUGGUUGAGUAUAUUUGGCUUUAGGUUCCACAUAGUUUUUGCUGCUAAUACUUGAUGGUCUUGGUACAUAAAAGACAGAGCUGUGCUACUAAAGAAUACAAUUUAGACAAUAGAUACCCUUGAUGGCUCCUAAAACAGGGUGAUCAGAGAGGGUUGAAUAUCAGUAGGAACUCUUAGUAACAGAUAAAACUGAAGCAAUAUUUAGAUCAUGGAAGAUAUUGCCUGGCCUUAUUUCCCAAGAAAAAUGCAUGGAAGAGACUAGGUAAAAAUUGGUGUAGCACGUGUGGUCGUCCUCCUAACUCUGGCAGAGAAAAAUAAUGGGAUUCUGCAUGUAAGGCCCAGUGCUACGGCUGAAGUAUAUCCAGGGUGACAGAUAGAUAACUGAAUAAGCAAAUAGGAUAGCUCGGAAGUAAAACUCAGAGAAAAGGAGGUCUAGAGAGUCAUUAUAAAGAUACUGGCCUUUCUUUUCAUGAAGCAGAAAAUUUAUAGAAAUUAUCUGAUUUAUGUUUUAAAAGAGCGUGUUUCAAGAACAUGAGUUGUGGAAUUUCCUGACUUGUAGAUAAAGAGGAAGCGAGGAGUCAGUGGCAGUACCAGAUUCUAGACUUGAUUUUUUUUUUUUUUUAGGUCCAGACAAUGUUUAUUAGCCUUCUGAUUUCUCUGGGGAAUUCUAAUGUAUAUUCUUAUUUUGAAAAAUCAAGAAGUGUCAAAUCUGACCCUUUUUUGUUAGUUAAUUUUGAGAACAUGAUCAAUGGAAAUGCCUAUUUUUAUUAUGAAACUCGUGAAACUAGAAUUGGGACAAUGGAAGCAAGAUUUCACAUUUAUCUCUGUACAAUGAGAACUAUUUAUUAUUCAGCCCAACAACACAAUUUAUUUAGACAAUUGAAAUUUUUGUUUAAACAAGUCUUUUCAGUUACCUUUCUUCUCGGAUUCUAAGUUAUCUGCAAAUUUUACACAAAAGCUCAUAAUCAACAAAACUGUCAAGAUCUUGGUAGAAAAGUAUUAGGUCAGGUUACAGGAUUUAGCUACAGAUUCAUGUAUUCAUUUAUGUGAUAUUUUUUUCAAAAUUUUUUGAGGCAGAGUCUCACCAUGAUAGCUUAGAACUUCUAAUUCUCCUGCCUCUGCCCUUCAACUGCUAGCAUUGCAGGUAUGUGCCAUCACUCACUGCAUGUGGAGUAUGUGAUAAUAUUUGUUGUGUGCCAACUGCACAAACAUGUUUCUAUGACACCCAUUAUGUACCAGUGGACCAAAUACACAAGUGUCCAUGUUUUGAGUAUUUAUAGUUCAGG